rnacentral:rRNA from 1 species
CGCAAGCCUGACGACGCAACGCCGCGUGGAGGAUGAAGACCUUCGGGUCGUAAACUCCUUUCGAUCGAGACGAACGGCCUUCGGGUGAAUAAUCCGGGGGAGUGACGGUACCGAGAGAAGAAGCCCCGGCUAACUCCGUGCCAGCAGCCGCGGUAAUACGGGGGGGGCAAGCGUUGUUCGGAAUUACUGGGCGUAAAGGGCUCGUAGGCGGCCAACUAAGUCAGACGUGAAACCCCUCGGCUUAACCGGGGAACUGCGUCUGAUACUGGAUGGCUUGAGUUUGGGAGAGGGAUGCGGAAUUCCAGGUGUAGCGGUGAAAUGCGUAGAUAUCUGGAGGAACACCGGUGGCGAAGGCGGCAUCCUGGACCAACACUGACGCUGAGGAGCGAAAGCCAGGGGAGCAAACGGGAUUAGAUACCCCGGUAGUCCUGGCCCUAAACGAUGAAUGCUUGGUGUGACGGGUAUCGAUCCCUGUCGUGCCGAAGCUAACGCAUUAAGCAUUCCGCCUGGGGAGUACGGUCGCAAGGCUG